rnacentral:lncRNA from 1 species
ACCCAAACACCCCCCAGUGUCCCCACGACCCCAACUCCCCCCCACGACCCCAGUGUCACCUUGAGGGACUCUGGGAGGCUGUGGACGAGGAAGAGGCGGGUGAGGGUGCGGGUGGCAGCCACCAGGUGCCGGGCGAUGCGCUGCGCCCAACGCUGCUGCUGCUCCGUGCUCAGCCCCACAGCGCAUGGAGGAACCCUGGGGACAUCGUGGGGACAUCGGGGGGACACCGGGGGGACAUCAGGAGGCAGAGCAGCCCGGGAUGUGGGGACACCUCAUGACAUGGGGACAGCGAUGCCAAGGGAAACCCAAUGCCAUGGGGACAGAAGGGACAGCCAGGGGACAGCCAGGGGACAACUCUGGGUCUUGGGGACAGGAGGGGACACCAAAUGCCGUAGGGAUGGGACAGCAGGGACACCUCUGGGGACGAGAAGGGACACCGAAUGCCAGAGGGAUGGGGGCAGGAGGGCUGCCCCGUAUCUUGGGGACAUCGGGGACACCCUUGAGGACAGGAGAGGACACCAAAUGCUAUGGGGAUGGGGACAGCAGGGACACCCAGAGGGACACCCCAUAUCUUGGGGACAGGAGGGGACACCCAGAGGACACCAAAUGCCAUGGGGAUGGGGACAGCAGGGACACCCAUAGGGACACCCCAUAUCUUGGGGACAUCAGGAACACCCUUGGGGACAAGAGGGGACACCAAAUGCCAUAAAGAUGGGGACAGGAGGGGACACCCAGGGGCCAGGAGGGGGACACCCAUGGACAGGGGCACCCAAGGGACACCAAAUGCCAUGAAGGUGGGGACAGGAGGGGACACCCAUGAACAGGGGCACCCAAGGGACACCAUAUACCACAGGGAUGGGUACACCAGGGACCCCCCACCCCCUCGGGGUUCAGGGACCCCCAGCAGCCCCCCGGUUGUCACUCACCUCCCCUCACCCUCGGGUUGUCCCCUCCUCAAAGCCCUCAGUGCCACCCGGUGCAGCUUUAUGGGGACGGUGACCCCCAGCACCGCCAGCGCCCCGUAAGCCCCCACGGCCACCACGCUGUACCGGGCCACCAGACCCAAUGUCCCCAACGUCCCCAGCAGUGCCAGCGCCGAGCGGCACGGCCAGCGCCACAGCAGCAGCUCCCACACUGCUCCAAAAAGGGGGGGGGACAAAUUAAGGGGGGGGGGGGUUACAGGGGGUCCCGGUGCCCCACCACUGACCCCCGAGUGUCACCCAUCUGAUGUCGCCCCACUGCUCCCAGUGCUGCGCUCCAUUGGUUGCAAUGGGUCCCAGUGCAUCCCAGUUUGCACCCCCAGUGUCCCAGUCGGUCUCAGUUGGUCCCAGUGCCCCACCUCCACGUCACCCCAAUGGGUCCCAGUGCCCCCCAGUUUGUCCCAGUGCCCCCAAAAUGCCCCCAACCCAAAGCCACCCUACUGGUCCCAGUGCUGCGCUCCAUUGGUUGCAAUGAGUCCCAGUUGCCCCCAGUUGCAAGCCAGUGUCCCAGUUGGUCCCAGUUGGUCCCAGUUCGUCCCAGUGCCCCACCUCCACGUCACCCCAAUGGGUCCCAGUGCCCCCAGUUGGUCCCAGUGCCCCCAGAAUACCCCCAACCCAAUGCCACCCUACUGGUCCCAGUGCUGCGCUCCAUUGGUUGCAAUGGGUCCCAGUUGCUCCCAGUUGCCCCCCAGUGUCCCAGCCGGUCCCAGUUGAUCCCAGUACAUCCCA